AUUGAACGCUGGCGGCAUGCUUUACACAUGCAAGUCGAACGGUAACAGGCCUUCGGGUGCUGACGAGUGGCGAACGGGUGAGUAAUGCAUCGGAACGUACCCAGAGGUGGGGGAUAACGCAGCGAAAGCUGUGCUAAUACCGCAUGUGAUCUGAGGAUGAAAGCGGGGGACCGAGCAGCAAUGUUUGGCCUCGCGCCUUUGGAGCGGCCGAUGUCGGAUUAGCUAGUUGGUGGGGUAAAGGCCUACCAAGGCGACGAUCCGUAGCUGGUCUGAGAGGACGACCAGCCACACUGGGUCUGAGAAACGGCCCAGACUCCUACGGGAGGCAGCAGUGGGGAAUUUUGGACAAUGGGCGCAAGCCUGAUCCAGCAAUGCCGCGUGCGGGAAGAAGGCCUUCGGGUUGUAAACCGCUUUUGGCAGGAACGAAACGGUGUCCGCUAAUACCGGGCGAUAAUGACGGUACCUGCAGAAUAAGCACCGGCUAACUACGUG
rnacentral:rRNA from 1 species